rnacentral:rRNA from 1 species
UACAGAGGGUGCGAGCGUUGUCCGGAAUCACUGGGCGUAAAGGGCGCGUAGGUGGCUUUGCAAGUCGGGUGUGAAAGCCCUCAGCUCAACUGAGGAAGUGCGCCCGAAACUGCAUGGCUUGAAUACCGGAGAGGAUGGCGGAAUUCCCCAAGUAGAGGUGAAAUUCGUAGAUAUGGGGAGGAACACCGGUGGCGAAGGCGGCCAUCUGGACGGCUAUUGACGCUGAGACGCGAAAGCAUGGGGAGCAAACAGG